rnacentral:rRNA from 1 species
CCUUGGCCUUGACAUACUAAGAACUUUCCAGAGAUGGAUUGGUGCCUUCGGGAACUUAGAUACAGGUGCUGCAUGGCUGUCGUCAGCUCGUGUCGUGAGAUGUUGGGUUAAGUCCGCAACGAGCGCAACCCUUUUCCUUAUUUGCCAGCGGGUCAUGCCGGGAACUUUAAGGAUACUGCCAGUGACAAACUGGAGGAAGGCGGGGACGACGUCAAGUCAUCAUGGCCCUUACGGCCAGGGCUACACACGUGCUACAAUGGUCGGUACAAAGGGUUGCUACCUCGCGAGAGGAUGCUAAUCUCAAAAAGCCGAUCGUAGUCCGGAUCGCAGUCUGCAACUCGACUGCGUGAAGUCGGAAUCGCUAGUAAUCGCGGAUCAGAAUGCCGCGGUGAAUACGUUCCCGGGCCUUGUACACACCGCCCGUCACACCAUGGGAGUUUGUUGCACCAGAAGUAGGUAGUCUAACCGCAAGGAGGACGCUUACCACGGUGUGGCCGAUGACUGGGGUGAAGUCGUAACAAGGUAGGCGUACUACA